AUUGAACGCUGGCGGCAGGCCUAACACAUGCAAGUCGAGCGCGGCGCGCGGGGGAGAAAAAUGUAUGGGACACUCCGUUAUGGAGGGGGAAAACUACGGGAAACGGUAGAUAAUACCGCAUACCAUUGUCUUGGCCCAGAUGGUAGUAGGUAGUAGGUGGGGUAAAGGCUCACCUAGGAGACGAUCCCUAGCUGGUCUGAGAGGAUGACCAGCCACACUGGAACUGAGACACGGUCCAGACUCCUACGGGAGGCAGCAGUGGGGAAUAUUGCACAAUGGGCGCAAGCCUGAUGCAGCCAUGCCGCGUGUAUGAAGAAGGCCUUCGGGUUGUAAAGCACUUUCAGCGGGGAGGCGUUACCCGCAGAAGAAGCACCGGCUAACUCCGUGCCAGCAGCCGCGGUAAUAC
rnacentral:rRNA from 1 species